CCUCUCUUUCGACGUUCUGCCUCUCUUCUGGGGACGUGUCUUGUUCGGGUUCUAACAAGUGUGCGAAGUGCAAAUGUUUAGAUUUUCUACAGCUCGACAAAUACACAAUAUAUUCGCACAUACGGCUACACGAGUAUAUACUUAUUCCAUGUAUAUGCACUUGGUUCUAGUCAGAAUCUCAGCAGACGCUGUAAAACGCUGUGAAAGAUAUCUAUAUCUUUUGUGUGCAAUUUGUUCAGCCCCAAGAUAGCUCUAAGUCAUUAGAUUUGUGCACAACAUCGGAUACAUUGGGUUCUUUGUGGUGUGGACUUCGUGCAGUUUACGACUAUCGCAAUUUAAGAUUCAUAAAAGACUCUAUAAGACUUGUACAAUUAUUUAAAAAUAACCUCCAACAUACACAGGUUUUAAAUGGAAGAACCUUAGCAAAAUUAACACAGAUUUCCAAUAUUUAGUUGGGUAUUUUUUUUGUUUCCAAAAAUUUCCCCACCAACUCUCGACUAAUGCAAAAACGUGAAAUGUUAAGACAUGGACCGGGGACUGGGGGGGAUGGGAAGAAACACAUCUUUGAUUACUGCAUGUUCAAUAAAUAAUUCAUUAAUUAAUCAAUUGUUGUGGUGGCUGCUUUUGGGCUGUUUUGGACUGUUUUGGCUGCGGUGCAAAGUUGAUUGAACUUAAAAUACUCGUACAUGGACUGGAGGGAGCUCAUUUAAAAUGUGCAAACAAAAGCCGCAGCCGCAGAGCCGCAGGAGAAACAUCAGCGCCGAGACCCGGCCAUACCAGACCAGACCAGACCUGUGCUGUGCCAACGACACAUAAACAAUUUAUCAGAAAUAAAUUGGUUAACAGUCUUUAUUAACACGCUAAAAAUUCGCUUGAAAAUUCGUUGCUGGGGACCCGAGUUCGGCUUCGGCCUCCGUGAAGAAGGGGAGCUUACGGGAAGAUUGUUUCAGUUACAGCUGAUGAUUCUGGCUGUUACUGCUGAUUACUUUAACGAUGAUGUCCAUAAAAUGUAUCUCAAGCCCGAAGCCUCGCAGCUCGCAGCUCGCAGCUCGCAUCUCGCACUUUUUUUCGGCAACCUCUGCUGCGCCUCACUCUGCUUCUCGUGGGGGAAGCAGGUUUGAAAAAUUACCAAAAAAAAGCAGACAAAAAAAAGGAAGAGAAAUAAAUGAAAACGAAACUCCAAGUGAAUCGAAAUUAAUUUAAAGCUUGUAAGUGCACUGGGGAUGGGGGGAGGGGGCGAUGUGUAUGGGGUAGAUAAAACUAAUGACCAUCUGAUGAUUGGCUAUCCAUCAGUGUGUCCCACAAAUACUAUGAGUUCUUUUCAGCAGCUUUAAUGGGAAUAUUCUCUCUAUAUUUGUAUCUGUUUACCGACA